CAAUUUAAACCCGUAAAAACAGUAACCACAUUUUCAUCAAGUAUUCUCCGCCAUUAAAACACAAUUAAAAAAAUAAAUAAGGAAAUAACACUAUGCAGGUCAAAGAAGAAGAAGAGGAAGACAAGAUGGCCGCCGACCUCUGCCCCAGCCGAGCCAGUCCACACUUUUUCGCCAUUCCAAGCCUUGUGGAGGGUGUGAGGUCUGUUAGGAAGUGACAAUCGUUCUCUCAGGCUUUCGACACCACAAGCAGCCGCCGGGAACCCUGCUGGUCAUACGGGGAAGGUCCCUGCCUCCCCUGGGGGCAGACUCCUGGCUGGUGGCUGUCCUCCUCACACCUCCUGCCUCCACAUGUCUUCUCAAAGGUCCCUGCCUCCCCUGGGGGCAGACUCCUGGCUGGUGGCUGUCCUCCUCACACCUCCUGCCUCCACAUGUCUUCUCAAAGGUCUUUUUGGUGGUCGGGCUGUGAGUCUCCCAGCCUUGCCGAUGGAAGAUUCUCCUCCCCGGCCUUCCUCCUCCUUCAGGUCUUCCAGCUGGUCUCCUCCCGUGUACCUCCACAACUCCUCUGGAAGGUGGAGAGGGAGGAGUGCGGACAAUAACGCUGCCUGUUCAGUGUGGGCCCCAAACACCUAAAUGCCAAGGAAGAGAACAUGAAGGUGACGGCAAUGAGAGAGGAGGAGGCAGAGGACGAGGGAAUGAUUUAAAUGCUGCGGAAGAGAGCUGUCUGGGAACUGGCUUGAAGAGAGAUAAGAAGAAGAAGAGGAAGAGGAGGAAGAAGAACAAGAGGAGGAGGAGGAUGAAGGGGGAACACAGGAAACAAUUGGUCCCUGCUUUCCCCUGACGGUGGUGGUCUCCUUGCUCCCGGGUGGUUGUCUUCACAUUUUUCUGCCUCCGCCUCCACAGUGCUUCCCAAAGGCUCCCCAAACACCACGACAGGCCAGCUGAGAAACAGAGCCUGGAGACACCCUCUUCCUCGGGGACCUUUCCUCAUGGCACCCUAACCUCCCUCCAAGAGACUCCCUCCCCACCCAACAACCCAUCCCUCCCUCCUCCCCUCAGUGCCAGGCACAUUCUCCCCUCCCAAAGUCUCCCGUCCCAUCCCAACAACCCAUCCAUAUUCUUCACUUGGUGGGCAAUGCUUGGCUGCUUGCCUUCUGAGACCUUCCUCAUGUACUUGGCAAUAUAGCCGUAGUGUUAA